rnacentral:rRNA from 1 species
CCUACGGGUGGCAGCAGUGAGGAAUAUUGGUCACUGGACGAGAGUCUGAACCAGCCAAGUAGCGUGAAGGAUGACGGCCCUAUGGGUUGUAAACUUCUUUUAUAAAGGAAUAAAACGAGGCACGUGUGCCUUUUUGCAUGUACUUUAUGAAUAAGGAUCGGCUAACUCCGUGCCAGCAGCCGCGGUAAUACGGAGGAUCCGAGCGUUAUCCGGAUUGAUUGGGUUUAAAGGUAGCGUAGAUGGGUUGUUAAGUCAGUUGUGAAAGUUUGCGGCUCAACCGUAAACUUGCAAUUGAUACUGGCAGUCUUGCGUACAUUUGACGUAGGCGGACUUCGUGGUGUAGCGGU